rnacentral:rRNA from 1 species
CGCUGGCGGCGCGCCUAACACAUGCAAGUCGAACGAGCAAAGAGGAGCUUGCUUCUCUGAGCGAGUGGCGAACGGGUGAGUAACGCGUGAGGAACCUGCCUCAAAGAGGGGGACAACAGUUGGAAACGACUGCUAAUACCGCAUAAGCCCACGGCUCGGCAUCGAGCAGAGGGAAAAGGAGUGAUCCGCUUUGAGAUGGCCUCGCGUCCGAUUAGCUAGUUGGUGAGGUAACGGCCCACCAAGGCAACGAUCGGUAGCCGGACUGAGAGGUUGAACGGCCACAUUGGGACUGAGACACGGCCCAGACUCCUACGGGAGGCAGCAGUGGGGAAUAUUGCACAAUGGGCGCAAGCCUGAUGCAGCAACGCCGCGUGGAGGAAGACGGUUUUCGGAUUGUAAACUCCUGUUCUUAGUGAAGAAUAAUGACGGUAGCUAAGGAGCAAGCCACGGCUAACUACGUG